rnacentral:lncRNA from 1 species
GUCAUUUGUUCUUCCGCCAGCGCCCAUCGUGAAGACCACAGUUUCCUGUCGCGUGGAUGUGUUUCCUCUCUGGCCAUUGCCAUCCGCCCAAAUCUACAGACAUCCCGCAUGUUCCCGGGCUCGUCUCCCCAAUACAGGGCACCAAGGCUGUAGACUGCGCAGCCCUCCUGGAGACAGAUGGAAGCUCCUUGGGUCGACAGAUUACAGCUUCUGGAACCCCCUACUCCCUUCAACUCCGAGAUGGACACCCACUGUCCAGGGAGAGGAUGCCUGGAAAUAACAGCUGGGAUCUACAGUGGCCAAAGAGUUGUCUCCGUCUUGCUACAUCGACAAACUGGUGCUCCUGAGUGAGGAUUGUGCCCUGGGAUGGGGGAUUCAGUUUCUUCAUUUAUAGUUGGAAGUGGGUGAAGCCACUUCGGAAGCGUUUUCCUCUCCACUCUGACAACAGGCAAGAGUGAGGGUCCAACAAUACAGAGGAAGUAACGUGUCGCUGCUACUCUUCCAUGCCCAGUGCCAGGAGCGACGGUACACUCCAGAGUGCUGUGCCCUGAUGGGCCUUUGAGUGGCCAGUGCAGUGGAUCAUCAGCCCUGUCUCCCAAGAGCUCCAGUCCCUUCUCCGGAGAGGAAGUGGGUCCACUGGCAGCUCAGGAGGCCAUAGCAGGUAAGUCAUACACUUGCUACUGUUCAGAGGCCUCAUCAAGAGAUUGGAGUUUGAGAGAAUGUAAGGAUGGCUCUGUCCAGUCUGGAGCCCCAGCCUUUGAGUCCCUAGAGUUUCCUGUAGUAUUUUCUGCCUCUUUGGGGGCGGGGAAGAUGAGUGGGGAGUGGUGUGUGGAUCCUCCCACCUAGGUCGUGCAUGGGUAAGUGUGAGGCCUUUCCAGUGUUAGUGAAUUGUAAGGGCAAGGGAGUGGACGUAGGCAUUGAAGACACUUGUAUAUGCCACGGUCUCCCUCUUUUUGUCAUUGUGUUGGGUAGCAGUGACUUGUUAGCAGUGGAGGGAAAAGUCAUAGUUGAACGAUGGAGAGUUAGGGUGGUCCGGAGCACCUAUCUGCUCUGGCUCUUUGAGGCCCCUCCCUUCCCGUUCAUUCUUCUGCCAGUGGCAGAAGUGCACCCACGUGUGUGCCUUGCUUCUGCCCUGGAAAGCUGGGCCUCAGCCUAGACAUCAGGUGACUAGCUGUUACCUAGCUAGUCCCCAGAUUCCACCUUAAUUAAGCAGCCUUACCUGUUUUGAUCUUCCAUUUCCUGACUUGGAAAACUAAAGCUAAGACAAAGGUUUUUCAGGACUGACUCCCCCUUCUUCUUGGCAGAUUGUGGGGCUCUGUGCAGUUGAUGUUAGUUAACCACUGGAUCCACGUGUUCACCGUGGCUUGCGCCCCUGCAUCCGAAAGUGAUCUUGGCUGCCGUGUCCUGGUCAUUGGUAGUGCAGGGAAAGGAUGCGGAAAGACGGGCUCCGAGCUCGGGGCGUCUGGCCUGGAGCUUUCCUACACUUGUGUCUUGCUCUGCAGCCUUACGGAAGUGUGGGUGGCGCUUUCUGGAAGCUGCACAAGAUUGUCACGUGUGCUCAACAGUCCUCCUCGGCUUUCCAGAAGAGGCUGGAACAGGGCCCUUGAAGAUGUUUGUGGACAUCAGAGGGCCAAAGACGACACAAAGUGAAACUGGAGACACCGCCCCCCCUUGGCAUCAUGAAACUGCCGAUGUUACUGGCUCAUGCAUGGGAGACACCAGCAUACAAAGUCUUGACACCAACACCUCAGAGGGCUGUGUUCUGUCCCCGUGACCAUCAUCUAGUGCCUGGAAAGACUAGUGACAAGAACUUGUUGCCAACUUCCUAUUACCUCCCUAACAGUUGUGCAAUAAACCCCAUAGGUUAAU